GACGAACCGUGCAAACGUUAUUCGGAAUCACUGGGCAUAAAGGGCGCGUAGGCGGCUUUCUAAGUCAGGGGUGAAAUCCGGCAGCUCAACUGUCGCAGUGCCUUUGAUACUGGAGAGCUCGAGGGAGGUAGGGGUCUGUGGAACUUCCGGUGGAGCGGUGAAAUGCGUUGAUAUCGGAAGGAACGCCGGUGGCGAAAGCGACGGACUGGAUCUCUUCUGACGCUGAGGCGCGAGAGCCAGGGGAG
rnacentral:rRNA from 1 species